GGCCUCCUGCCCCCUGGGCUGUGGGGAUCCCACUGCUCCUCAGCCAGGGCUGGAGGCCGAGAUCAGCCCUGGAGGAGCAUCGUCAGAGCUGCCGCGAGUGGGCAGCUGUGUUUUCCUGCCUCGGACAUGU
ensembl:scaRNA